GACGAACGCUGGCGGCGUGCUUAACACAUGCAAGUCGAACGGUGAAGCGCCUUCCUUUUUGGUGGGUGUGGAUGAGUGGCGAACGGGUGAGUAACACGUGAGUAACCUGCCCCCUUCUUCUGGAUAACCGCAUGAAAGUGUGGCUAAUACGGGAUAUUCUGGGUCUGUCGCAUGAUGGGUCUGGGAAAGAUAUUGUUUCGGUGGGGGAUGGGCUCGCGGCCUAUCAGCUUGUUGGUGGGGUGAUGGCCUACCAAGGCGGUGACGGGUAGCCGGCCUGAGAGGGUGGACGGUCACACUGGGACUGAGACACGGCCCAGACUCCUACGGGAGGCAGCAGUGGGGAAUAUUGCACAAUGGGCGCAAGCCUGAUGCAGCGACGCCGCGUGAGGGAUGGAGGCCUGCGGGUUGUGAACCUCUUUCGCCAGUGAAGCAGGCCUGCCUAGUUUGUGGGUGGGUUGACGGUAGCUGGAGAAGAAGCGCCGGCUAACUUCGUG
rnacentral:rRNA from 1 species